GACGAACGCUGGCGGCGUGCCUAAUACAUGCAAGUAGAACGCAGUUGCGAACGGGUGAGUAACGCGUAGGUAACUGCCUCAUAGCGGGGGUUAACUAUUGGAAACGAUAGCUAAUCCCGCAUACUGUGAGAUGGACCUGCGUUGUAUUAGCUAGUUGGUGAGGUAAAGGCUCACCAAGGCGACGGUACAUAGCCGACCUGAGAGGGGGAUCGGCCAAACUGGGACUGAGGAACGGCCCAGAAUCCUGCGGGAGGCAGCAGUAGGGAAUCUUCGGAAAAUGGCUGAAGUCUGACCGAGCAACGCCGCGGGAGUGGAGAAGGUUUUCGGAUCGUAAAGCUCUGUUGUGAGAGAAGCGGUAACUGACCAGAAAGGGACGGCUAACUACGUGCCAGCAGCCGCGGUAAUAC
rnacentral:rRNA from 1 species